GCCACUUGAAUCAGCUCAAUCGGAAGUCGUAUGAGAAAGUUAUGCUUGAAAUACAAGACAGUGCCACAACCCGCGAUAAUGCACUUUUGCACGUGUUUGGUUUGAUUUUCGGCUUCGCUUCCAAAAUCGUUUCGAAUCGGCAAAAAUAGCUUCUCUUUACCUAAAAUAUAAAUAAAACAAAAACAACAAAAUAUAUACAAAUAAAGCCGAAAACUCGAACGAACGAAGACCAAAACUCGAAGAUUCGAUAAGUAAAAGUCAUGCAAAAUGAACACUUAUCAGAGUGGACGGACCGUUAGUGGCAGAAGUUUCCCAAGCAUUAGAGUAUUCCCAAGGUCUUGCAUCUCUGUUGGGGCUCGGGGUUAUGACUACG
rnacentral:lncRNA from 1 species